UCCCUCUUAUUUCUUUCUCUUUCCUCACUUUCACAUGCACGGAUUUGGCAAAACCCUCCCUUCUUAUUUCUCUCUCAUUUUCAGACAAAUGAAACCCCUCUCAAAAAUCCCAUUCGGUGCAAGCGCCAAAGCAAGGAGAAAUUAACGAUUUGUUGGUCGAUUUCUUCUCUCUCAAUUUCAGACAAAGGAAGCCCCUGCCUGUGACCCAUGUUGGUUCAAGCAACAAAUCGCUACUUUCGACCUAGAGAUUGUGAAUUAGAUAAACACAUAGCAGCUUCGACUAUUUCUUCUCUCUCAUUUUCAGCCAAAAUAGACCAAUACAAGUUCAGAAUCUAGGUCGAGUUGAACGGAUUUGGAAGAGAAGCUCAGAAUAGCUGUUUACCCAUACAAGUUCUGUCUCUCUCUCUCUCUAUUUUACUCACAUUUAUAUGAACUGUUAUUUUGAUUACAUUAUUGAUAAACAUUUUUCUAGUUAUGAUUUAGACAUUAAAUUUAGACAUUCUGAUUAUGGGAUUUUCCAGCUUUCGUGGUUUAGUAAUUUGGGAUAUGCAAAACGUUUAGUUCGAUUAUGUUUUAGCUUAAUUUUUCAUAUUCCGAACAUGGCUUGUAAAAUUAUGAUUUGUUUGCCCAUAGAUGGCUAUGAUGAUUUUUUUGAUUAGUUUGAUGAAUUAUAUUUUGAAGAACGAUGGCUACAUUCAUUUAUAAAGUUUGAAGUUUUAGAAUGAGCGGAACAUAAAUCAUACACAGGGUACUAUGACAUUUGUUUUAAAACAAGUUGCUAAUUGCUAAACGAUGACUCAACACCUUUUUAACAUACUUGUCUUGAUGUAGAGAAUACACUCAUGAAGCUUAAACAAGGCUCUCGUUGUGAUCUAAGCUUAUCCAAUGUGGGCUCUACAGAGACAGAUAUAAACCAUGUGGCAAGCAUAAUACCCGAUGGGGAGGAGGCAAUGACCUUCGAUGCUGACUGUUCUACUGCUGCAUCUCCAAAUUCGAGUGAUUGUCAUUCCAUAGGCACCUCAAACGAGCAACAAAAUAAGAAUGUUUUUGUUCUUUACCUAUUUUCCAGAUACAAGAAUUCUUGACAAUGUUUAAGCUUGCCUGAUCAGAAGGCAAUGGUAAUAGAGAAUGGUUGUUUUUCGUCUAUUACAUGCCAGAUUCCAAAUGAUUGUCUGUUGGUUAGUGGCACUAGUUAGUAUUUGGAAUUAAAAUAUUUAUUCCCAUGGUGUUUAAAUUUUAAGGUUUCAAUUUGGGUUUUUUAUGAUCCAAAAAUUGUAUGGUAAUGGAUCGAGAACUAUAUUUUUGUUCCAUGAUUUAUUUUGUUAAUGUUGUUGGUAGCUAUCCUGGGUUUUAGCUCCAAGGCUUGGGAAUUUUAAAGAGAACAUUUAAAAUUUUCUUUCCACGUUUCUUAUUUUUAAAGUGUGUUUCCCUUUUUCUCCAAUGAUUUAUGCAUAGUUUUGGCUUUUUGAAUGUAUAAGCUCUUUGGUAGCAUCCAGCACAAGCUGCCAAUAUGUAAGUUGUAACGCCCCCAAAAUUAGGUAUACA
rnacentral:lncRNA from 1 species